UGGGGAAUAUUGGACAAUGGGCGCAAGCCUGAUCCAGCCAUGCCGCGUGAGUGAUGAAGGCCCUAAGGUUGUAAAGCUCUUUCACCGGUGAAGAUAAUGACGGUAACCGGAGAAGAAGCCCCGGCUAACUUCGUGCCAGCAGCCGCGGUAAUACGAAGGGGGCUAGCGUUGUUCGGAUUUACUGGGCGUAAAGCGCACGUAGGCGGACUUUUAAGUCAGGGGUGAAAUCCCGGGGCUCAACCCCGGAACUGCCUUUGAUACUGGAAGUCUUGAGUAUGGUAGAGGUGAGUGGAAUUCCGAGUGUAGAGGUGAAAUUCGUAGAUAUUCGGAGGAACACCAGUGGCGAAGGCGGCUCACUGGACCAUUACUGACGCUGAGGUGCGAAAGCGUGGGGAGCAAACAGG
rnacentral:rRNA from 1 species